GACGUAGGGCGCGAGCGUUGUCCGGAUUUAUUGGGCGUAAAGAGCUCGUAGGCGGCUUGUCGCGUCGAAUGUGAAAACUCGGGGCUCAACUCCGAGCUUGCAUUCGAUACGGGCAGGCUAGAGUUCGGUAGGGGAGACUGGAAUUCCUGGUGUAGCGGUGAAAUGCGUAGAGAUCGGGAGGAACACCAGAAGCGAAGGCGGCGAACUGGAUAGGAACUGACACUCAACUGCGAAAGCGUGGGGAGCAAACAGG
rnacentral:rRNA from 1 species